rnacentral:lncRNA from 1 species
AAGUUGGUAUUUCUCAUUAACCAAAAAUGAAUGUACAAGUACAAAGUAUAUAACAAUGAAAAGAAAAGAAAUUAACUGUCCAACAGACAGUUAAUACCGUUAAGAGUUUUCUUUUACAUUCUCAACACACCCCUCUAAAACUAAACUCUCUAGAGAUUUAACUCCAAGAGAAUCCCUCAACUUCUCAAACCUGUUUCGCC